UUCCCCCUUAUUUCUAAUUAUUCAAUCUCUUCAUCAUAUCUUCUCUUCUCAUGUAUUUUAGGAGGAUGUUCUUUUGUGCUGUUUUGUCUCAAAACUCAGUCUUCGAUUUCCCUCUAUGAAAUUCGCCAUACUCUCAAAGGUUCCGUCAACUUGCAGGUGCUUAAAAUGAUGUUCGUGGAGGAUCAACUGGAGUUGUUGAGUCAUUCUAUGCGUAAGUCAACAAAUUACUAAUCAUUUGAAACCUUCCAAAAACAAAUUAAGCCCAUCCCAAUUGUACUGCUCCCAUGAUUAUGAUAUCGCAUUAUGCUAGAAAGUUUUCAACUUUCACUUUCUACUGCACAAGAGGAAGAUGAUUGAAGAAAAAUAAGUAUAGUUCAAAUGCAGUUGGGAGCAUGAAAGCCUUCGACGAUGAGCUGACUUACAUUAGAUGUUUGGAGCAAGUUAAUGUUGGAUUGGAGAUAUAAUCCAUAGCUUGCCUUGCUUGGAUCAGGUUGCCAGUUGAGUAGUUGAGUUUCAGAAGCUCUUCUACCCAAUUCCAAGUGAUUGGUAUCAUGGUAUCAAUAACCGGAGUAGUUCUAGCUGGAUUCUUCAAGGGUCCACUUAUAACACCCUCUUCUCACCACCUUCGACACACUAAGCAACUUUUUAUCUUCUCCUCAACACCAGAGUUUUGGGUUCCUGCUGGUGUGGACAAAUAAGUGAACUUCAAUCCAAAAUUGAGGAUUGGAUGACAAAGUGGAUGAAUAUAUUAUAGAUUAUAGAUUAUAUAUCUUCCUUCUAAGGUUCUCUUUCCAUGUUUAUUGUUUUCGUUUUGCUAAUUUCAGCUUUCACCCACUGUCAUUGCAUGUUUUGUUCUCUGUCAUCUGAAUCUGUGAUCUUUCAACGUUUGAACUUAUAUUCGAUUAUCCCUCUUUAUUGUUUCAAAUUAAUCUGAACCAGAGCAUGUCAUUUCCGUCAUCAUCGUCUAAGUCUGGCGCUUCAACUCUUUUCUUUCUCUCUAUGUUUUUAUUGUGUUAAUUUGAUUUUUUAUGUUUCAUGUUUUUGAUUUGUUUGAGAAGCUGUUUAUUUCAGUAUUAUGAAUAUGAGGUCUCACUAAGCAAAUAGAGUUGGAAAAUGUGGAAUAGGGUUUUCAGUAGUGUUAGAGGAAGAGAGAUAAUAUAUGAUGAAUAAUCAAAAAUUGAUUUUUUGAACUGCGACUCUUCCGACAGCGGAGUGACAUUGUUAUUCCUGAUUUCUCCUAUUGAGAAGUAUAUGGUUUCUUUUUUCAAUUUGGUUGUUAUGGAUUUUAGGGUUCUAAACUGAGUUGUGAUCAACGAAAGGGGAAGUAAUUGAAUGUCAGAGCGAAAGGGGAAGUAAUUAAAGUUCUAUUUUGUAGUUGUGUGUGUUGGGAUUGCAGGCACAUUUUGAACUGUAAUUUCCUUCUUGAUACAAGAGUUUCCUGAAAAUAGGCAUAUUACAUAUGAUUUCAAAAUGUUUAUUACAAUCUUCAUUUUUAUGAUAAUAGUGUGUGUUACAUUGAUGCCUUUAGUUGUUUAGUUUUGGUUGCAGAUAGAGUAUCUAUCCGUCACCUUCUAUGGACAUUAUUUCAUAAUUGGUGUUGAAUUCGGGCUGAAUUGUGGAAGCUGGAACAUGUUUUGUUGCUGUCAUAAGCUGCGAUGAGGAAAGGUUGAUAGGAGAAAGAAGUUGAAAGUUUUGCAGUACAGCGUUGGUUUUGUUUCUUAAGUAGAAAACAUGGUUUCUAUAGAUGAAUUCAAUAGAAAGUGGACUCUGGGGAUGUUAAAUGGUGGCGGAGUGGUAACACUAGGAUCCAGUUAUCUAUUCACAUCUGUAAUUACUAUAUUCAGUGCAAUGAAAUCUAAUCCAAUUCUUUUGAUCA